rnacentral:rRNA from 1 species
UACGGAGGGUGCAAGCGUUAUCCGGAUUUACUGGGCGUAAAGGGUGCGUAGGCGGUGGGGUAAGUUUGAGGUGAAAGCUCCGGGCUCAACCCGGAAAAUGCCUUGAAAACUAUCCUGCUAGAGGGUUGGAGGGGAGACUGGAAUUCUCGGUGUAGCAGUGAAAUGCGUAGAUCUCGAGAGGAACACCAGUGGCGAAGGCGGGUCUCUGGACAACACCUGACGCUGAGGCACGAAAGCCAGGGGAGCAAACGGG